GGCGUCCGAGUUGUAAUUUGGAGGGAUAACUUCGGGGUUGGCGCCGUCCUAAGUUCCUUGGAACAGGACGUCACAGAGGGUGAGAAUCCCGUGCCUGGAUGGCUGUCCAACUCCAUGUGAAGUGUCUCCGACGAGUCGAGUUGUUUGGGAAUGCAGCUCAAAAUGGGUGGUAAAUUUCAUCUAAAGCUAAAUAUUGGCGAGAGACCGAUAGCGCACAAGUAGAGUGAUCGAAAGAUGAAAAGCACUUUGAAAAGAGAGUUAAAAAGUACGUGAAAUUGUUGAAAGGGAAGCGCUUGCGACCAGACUCGAUCUUUGGUGAUCAGCCGGGCUUCUGUCCGGUGCCCUCGCCAUUGAUUGGGCCAGCAUCGGUUCUGACGGCGGGAUAAAAGGAGGAGGAAUGUGGCUCCCUUCGGGGAGUGUUAUAGCCUCCUUCACAAUGCCGCCAGUUGGGACCGAGGACCGCGCU
rnacentral:rRNA from 1 species